AAUCAACGCUGGCGGCGUGCCUCAGACAUGCAAGUCGAACGAUUAAAGCUCUCUUCGGAGAGUGUAUAGAGUGGCGCACGGGUGAGUAACACGUAAGUAAUCUACCUCUGAGUGGGGAAUAACGUCCGGAAACGGACGCUAAUACCGCAUAAUGCAGCGGCACCGCAAGGUGACAGUUGUUAAAGAUUUAUCGCUUAGAGAGGAGCUUGCGGCAGAUUAGCUAGUUGGUAAGGUAAUGGCUUACCAAGGCUACGAUCUGUAACCGGUCUUAGAGGACGGUCGGUCACACUGACACUGAAGAACGGGUCAGACUCCUACGGGAGGCAGCAGUCGGGAAUUUUGGGCAAUGGGCGAAAGCCUGACCCAGCAACGCCGCGUGAAGGAUGAAGUAUUUCGGUAUGUAAACUUCGAAAGAAUGGGAAGAAUCAAUGACGGUACCAUUUAUAAGGUCCGGCUAACUACGUGCCAGCCGCCGCUGUAAAAC
rnacentral:rRNA from 1 species